rnacentral:rRNA from 1 species
GAUGAACGCUGGCGGCGUGCCUAAUACAUGCAAGUCGAGCGAAUGGAUUAAGAGCUUGCUCUUAUGAAGUUAGCGGCGGACGGGUGAGUAACACGUGGGUAACCUGCCCAUAAGACUGGGAUAACUCCGGGGAACCGGGGCUAAUACCGGAUAACAUUUUGAACCGCAUGGUUCGAAAUUGAAAGGCGGCUUCGGCUGUCACUUAUGGAUGGACCCGCGUCGCAUUAGCUAGUUGGUGAGGUAACGGCUCACCAAGGCAACGAUGCGUAGCCGACCUGCGAGGGUGAUCGGCCACGCUGGGACUGGGACACGGCCCAGACUCCUACGGGAGGCAGCAGUAGGGAAUCUUCCGCAAUGGACGAAAGUCUGACGGAGCAACGCCGCGUGAGUGAUGAAGGCUUUCGGGUCGUAAAACUCUGUUGUUAGGGAAGAACAAGUGCUAGUUGAAUAAGCUGGCACCUUGACGGUACCUAACCAGAAAGCCACGGCUAACUACGUGCCAGCCGCCGCAGUAA